CAGCAGCCGCGGGAAUACGAAGGGGGCUAGCGUUGUUCGGAAUCACUGGGCGUAAAGCGCACGUAGGCGGAUUUUUAAGUCAGGGGUGAAAUCCCGAGGCUCAACCUCGGAACUGCCUUUGAUACUGGGAGUCUGGAGUCCGGGAGAGGUGAGCGGAACUGCGAGUGUAGAGGUGAAAUUCGUAGAUAUUCGCAAGAACACCAGUGGCGAAGGCGGCUCACUGGCCCGGUACUGACGCUGAGGUGCGAAAGCGUGGGGAGCAAACAGGAUUAGAUACCCGAGUAGUCCCUGUCUCUUAUAC
rnacentral:rRNA from 1 species